GACGAACCGUGCGAACGUUGUUCGGAAUCACUGGGCUUAAAGGGCGCGUAGGCGGCUUGCCAAGUCAGGGGUGAAAUCCUGCAGCUUAACUGUAGAAGGGCCUUUGAUACUGGCGAGCUCGAGGGAGGUAGGGGUAUGUGGAACUUCCGGUGGAGCGGUGAAAUGCGUCGAUAUCGGAAGGAACGCCGGUGGCGAAAGCGACGUACUGGACCUCUUCUGACGCUGAGGCGCGAAAGCUAGGGGAGCAAACGGG
rnacentral:rRNA from 1 species